rnacentral:rRNA from 1 species
CGGUGGAGCAUGUGGUUUAAUUCGAUGCAACGCGAAGAACCUUUACCUGGUCUUGACAUCCACAGAACUUUCCAGGGAUGGAUUGGUGCCUUCGGGAACUGUGAGACAGGUGCUGCAUGGCUGUCGUCAGCUCGUGUUGUGAAAUGUUGGGUUAAGUCCCGCAACGAGCGCAACCCUUUAUCCUUUGUUGCCAGCGGUCCGGCCGGGAACUCAAAGGAGACUGCCAGUGAUAAACUGGAGGAAGGUGGGGAUGACGUCAAGUCAUCAUGGCCCUUACGACCAGGGCUACACACGUGCUACAAUGGCGCAUACAAAGAGAAGCGACCUCGCGAGAGCAAGCGGACCUCAUAAAGUGCGUCGUAGUCCGGAUUGGAGUCUGCAACUCGACUCCAUGAAGUCGGAAUCGCUAGUAAUCGUGGAUCAGAAUGCCACGGUGAAUACGUUCCCGGGCCUU